rnacentral:rRNA from 1 species
GAUGAACGCUAGCGGGAGGCCUAACACAUGCAAGCCGAGCGGUAUUGUUUCUUCGGAAAUGAGAGAGCGGCGUACGGUUGCGUAACACUUGUGCAACCUGCCUUUAUCUGGGGUAUAGCCUUUCGAAAGGAAGAUUAAUACUCCAUAUUAUAUUGAACGCCAUCGUUUAAUAUUGAAAGCUCCGCCGGCUAGAGAUGGGCACGCGCAAGAUUAGCUAGUUGGUGAGGUAACGGCUCACCAAGGCGCUGAUCUUUAGGGGGCCUGAGAGGGUGAUCCCCCACACUGGUACUGAGACACGGACCAGACUCCUACGGGAGGCAGCAGUGAGGAAUACUGGUCAAUGGGUGCAAGCCUGAACCAGCCAUCCCGCGUGAAGGACGACUGCCCUAGGGGUUGUAAACUUCUUUUGUAUAGGGAUAAACCUACCCUCGAGAGGGUAGCUGAAGGUACUAUACGAAUAAGCACCGGCUAACUCCGUG